rnacentral:lncRNA from 1 species
UUGGGGCUUUUAAUAAAUUAGUGAUCACCAAACCUAGGGGAUUACAAGUUUGACGCCUAACAAGCUAGGUGGAAGCUUGUGGAUGAAGUGGGUCAAACAGAGCGCGUACGGAAAGAAAGGCGUGGCAUGGAUACAAGGUGUAAAUGUCAAAUGGGUAUUAGCAACGCUAUGAAUUAGCGGUUAUAAAAGCAAGGUACACCUUGGACGCCGGAAGACGAUCAAGCUCAGCGAAGAACCGAACACGGUUUAUCUUAGAGUAAAGAAAGAUCUUCAUGGCAUAGAUAGUAUAAAGUUUGAACCAGAUAAUAAAUUCCAGUCUAUCGAAAGGGGGAGUUUACUUUCUAGGUCAACAAUAAAAUGGAAGAUUGAAGAAUGAGAUGGAUAGAGAUUAAUGGAGCUUUACAGUGCCACAUAUUCUGAUGAAGCACAAAGACUGAUGAAGACUGAAGGCUUUGAAGACUCGACACUACAAACUUCGUCGACAUCCAAGGGGGAGUCUGUUAGUGUAUUUGUCUGUCAACUUCGUCUGGUAUCGAGUCUUGUGUAUAGAAAGGUUAAAGUUUGAAGGAUUGGAGCAAAGAUCGGUAGAUCAAGACUAAAGACUGAAGAUUGUUUGCAAAAGACUUCGUCAACAUCCAAGGGGGAGUCUGUUAGUGCACUGAUGUCUGUUAACUUCGUCUUUAUAGAGUCUUGUAUUGUACUAAAUAGAUCAGGGUUUGGAAAUCAAGAAAGUGUGAAU